GGGAAGUAUUAUCACACACCUGUGUUAAACUACAAUACCGUGAAGUGGUUAUUUAUAGCCUAAUGGAUUUCUGUUUUGAUUUUUACUUACAAAGAAUGUUCAUGUAGCAUCUGUGGCACAAAAUUGUAGAAAAGAUGAUUUUCUUUAUAAAGCCUGUCAUAUAUCCCAUGCUGUUGAAUUUCAUAGCAAUUGUUGCCUGUACAGUUCCCUACUUUCUGGCAUCAGCUAAAGAGACAAUACACAAAGAUUUCCCAUUCAUAAGUGACAGUGGACGACAAGGAGUCGCUGCAGCCUUGUUCAGCUUGUUUUUCACACUUUAUGCAUUCAUUUUUUUCAUAAUUUUAACACUGAGAUUUGAGCAGAUUAAGGCAGUAUACAGUAACAGGAGUCAUAAAUGUUUACAUGCUGUGAACACAGUAACAUACUGUAUUGGAUUGCUGGCGUGUGGUGGCGUUUGGUUGCUAACAAACUUUAGAGAGAAAACUGCACCAGAAGAACUCAUGAAAGUACAUAAUGCAGGUUCGGUGAUAGGAUUUGCAUUGGGAACAAUAUACUUUUUGCUACAGACAAUAUUCUCAUUUUUCUGGAAGGAGGUUCCCGGUAGAACACUUGUUAUCAACAUUUGCAGAGGAAUAUUCUCGAGUCUGCAUUUUGCAUUUUUAGCCGCAUUCAUGGUCCUGUUGCAGAACUAUAUGAACACAUAUGAUAUGACUAUGAGGAAAAAUGCAGCUAUCAUGGAGUGGAUUUUUGUAUUUCUAGUGACACUUUAUCCUCUGACGUUCAUACCUGAAUUUUACAAAGCCAAUUUUAAAUGUACCGUCGAUUUUCCUGGUUCUGAUAGGGAUGUUCCUGGAAACGAUUCACGUCUCGUUUUGCAUGAGUCGGGUGUUGCAACUAACAGAUUUAGGGGGGCCGACGAACAGAACUCUCGUCUCAUAGAGAUUGAAGAAACUCAAGAAUUAUUGGAUGAUGAAAUUACCAGUGAUGACAAUAUGUUGCUAUAGAGAACAUUUUAUUGUGAAAUUUCAUAAGUUGAUGUGAAAAAUACACCUUUACUUUAACACUAAAAAAAUUACCUUUUUUGUAAAUAUAUGAUUUAUAUAUUUAGUUGGAACUAAAAAAUAAUGAAAUGAAUACAUGAAAAAGUCACAUAAAAGCUGUUCAGAAACGGCUUCGCCUUUACGGUUAAAUAAAAGUCCUAUUAAUAAAUUUUAAGCUUGCUACAAUAAAAAAAAAACUGAUACAGUAUAAUGGUUUAUUAUUUUCGAAGCGGUUUUCUUGGAUAAUCUUCAUCAGAACGCACCGUGAGUGUGUAACAUUUAAAUUCUACCAGGCAUAUCAAAUGUUUCAAUGAAAUUCUGAAACAUUCUGUAUUAAUUUUAAAGGAAUAUCUACAAAUAACAUAUUUAUUAACUGAUCAUAAGAGAAGAUUGAAAAGACGUCCAUCAAACUUAAGGAAUAAAAACGACAGACAUCUUUUAGCUUUUAAAACGAAGGAAAAACAUGCUGUAAAUCACUUGAUUUUUAUUUGAUUUACAGUGUGGAUAUCAUUAACAAUUUAUAUACAUAUAUUAUUAAAAAAAAUAGUGUAUCAGUAGUGGAAAUAAAGCUUAAAGAGGGGAAUUUGUUUGUGACUUCAUGGAACUUUAUCUAAAUAUGCCUGUUAUGGUUUCAUCGACAUUUAUCACAUCUUCGUUCAAUUUCAGAACAUUGUUCCUUACAUUAUUUAAGAAGUAAGUAAAUUAUCAUCGACACGUUCCUGAAAGAACAUAUUGAAACUUGGGAUUAUUAGCCGAGCAGAGCGAGGGGAAAAAAAUUAAUGUCUUUCCUGUCAAAAAUAUAUAUAUUUUAUUAUUGUAAGGGGAAGCAUUGGGUAUGGGUCGCCCAGGUCAUAAAGGAAAAUUAUUCAUAUAAAGACAUAUUAAAAAUUCCACACUUGACUCCUUGAUAUCAUGAACCAUUAAAAUUGAAAUAAAUACUCAAUGACCACGAGUUUUACGAUUAAUAAUGUAAGUAAAAAAAUAUUAAAUUAAAUGUUAUUAGUGUUUUUAUUAUAUGAAAAUGAGUAUAACAUUAAGAAAACCUUCUGAAAACCUGCAAAAACAUCAAACCAUUAUUCCCUUUUGGUGUCAUUCUUCGUGUCCAACAAACCAACAAAAGAUGGUAAUGACACACAUGAAUAACAAUAAUUAUGACACAAGAGAUAUAGAUAUAUCAUCUGCAUCAAUUGUUCAACAUACUUCUGCUGAAUAAUCAGAUAUUGAUUGAGAGUAUCAUCAUCAAAUUAGCUAUAAUGUUUGCAUGUUUGAAAUACAGAACUUCUGAAACCUUGUAAACAAAUUUCGGUGCCCCCAUCUGAAGUAUUGAAAAUAAGAAUAUCCCCCUUUCCAUUCCGAUAAAUUGUCAUCAAUGCCUUAAUUUCCUCCCCCUUUCAGGUAUCAAAAGACCAGUCCCUAGGCUCUUUUGUAGAAAUCUUGUGAGUUUUGCUGUACUCACGACACAGUGAUGUUGUUUACAUCCGUUAAAUAAAAUACGACCCGUGUUAAUUUACUGACCUCCUCCCUUGAAUAUUGUUUGUAUCGGAACUAACAUUGAUUUUGUUUUUAAUAAAUUAUAAAAGAACUAAA